UACGUAGGGGGCAAGCGUUGUCCGGAAUCAUUGGGCGUAAAGCGCGUGUAGGCGGUUCGGCAAGUCUGCUGUGAAAGUCCAGGGCUCAACCCUGGGAUGCCGGUGGAUACUGUCGAACUAGAGUACGGAAGAGGCGAGUGGAAUUCCCGGUGUAGCGGUGAAAUGCGCAGAUAUCGGGAGGAACACCAAUUGCGAAGGCAGCUCGCUGGGACGUCACUGACGCUGAGACGCGAAAGCGUGGGGAGCAAACAGG
rnacentral:rRNA from 1 species